rnacentral:lncRNA from 1 species
AGUGUCGAACUUUUCAGGCUUUUGUACCUCUCGCAUGCAAAGCGAGCGCUUUACCAUUUAAGCUACAUCCUCAAAAUUCAGAAUCUUUUUAAAAGUUUUUCCGAAUUGGACUGGAAAAGUAGAAGACGGUCAAAAGCAAGAUAAGUUUUUCUAGAUUUGGACUAGAAGAAUAGAAGAUGGUCAAAAGUAAGAUUCACUGAAUCGAUACUGAAAUUUAUACCAAUUUGCUACGGGCUUGAUACAAGAUGAACUGAACAGUUCGCACUAGUUCGAUGGAUUAUGAUUCAAACCUUUUAAAAAGAUGGAACCAUCUUUUUAAAAAAUUCCUCAUUAGUUCAAUCCGGUGCAUGUUCCGAACCAUCUGGUUCCGGACGGUUUAGAAUGGUUCGAGAAGAAUUUCAAAAUUUAAGGUUAAACCAAUCCGAUUCCUCAUUAGUUCAGCUCGAUAUGGGGUGAACUAGAUGGUUCAGCCUGAUUUGGCAUACCUUGAUCAAAAAUCUGUAAGCUUGCACCAUAUGUUGUGUGGAGGGUAAUACUACACGUUGAUGAUAGCAGUACAAAAAUCAUAUUAGCAUAAUACAUGACCAACAAGGAUUCUGGGAGGGUGCAAUUAGAACAGCGGUCUCACUUUUGUUUGAUAUGGCCAUGAAGCACAAUAAACUAACAAAUCAAGUUCAGUUCUUAAUUCUUAUUAUCGUAUAUGGACCGUGAAUAAGAGGGAAG